GUGUAGCUUGCCUCUUUUUUUUCCUCUGCGCAUCUAGCCAAGCUCAUUCCUUCCCCAACCUCUAGGGACGUCUGGCUCUUAAUCUUUAGGGCUGAAGACGACCAAAGAUCCAUUUUCCAUAAACAUUCACAGCUGACGGUGGGCUCAUGCGCUGGCCCACUGAGGGGAGUUGGAGGUGCUGCAAAGCCGUGAUGUUGGGAAGGAGAGAAGCUUAGUAGGCCCGUCAUUUAGUAUGGGACUGUUGAGGCCUAGAAGAUACAGAUUCUUACAAGAAGGUUGAAAACAUAGGCACCCAAUAUAAGGAGAUGAAUUGUGGUUACCAGGGGCUUAAGAAAAGCAGACUUGGUAAGGAAACUUGAUUCCACAAACAGUGUUUGGGUCUCAGCAGGUAAAAGAGUUCAGAAUCUUUGACCUAAAAUAAGAAUAAUUAUUAUAAAUUACGGAGGAUGCUAGAAUCAGUUAGCUCUUUUGUUUUCUGGGAAGACCGUUUCUGGUGUCAUUUUGUACAGACUUUAUAAUAGCUGGUAGAGUGCUGUCCUGGCUAGGCAUUUGUCAACGGGAUAUAAGCUAGAUACCUGGGAAGAGGAAGCUCAGCUGAGAACAUGCCUCCUUCAGAUUGCCUAUAGUCAGCACAGAAGAACUUGGUGACCUCAAAAGCCAUGGGGGAUUUAUCCCCAGAAGUAAGCAAACAAUUCCACAGCAGUGAACACCAGCUGCAUGUCCUAAAGCCUAAUAGACUCCUGACUCUGUCACCUGGAGCUAUGCCCUAAAAGGAAAAGACACGAAGACAGUAACCGAUGAGAACUGACCGCCAUCAGCCAUCUCCUUUAUGCGUUCUGUCUGUCCUGUUGAGACUGUCCCCUGAUGAGUUCUUCCCCCUUCUGUUCUUCCAGUCUCCUUGUUUGUGUCUUGCUCAACAAAAUGUUCACUUGAGGCAAAGGAAAUUAAAAUAUGUCACUUCCUGUGGGAGCCCACAGAGGCUUCCUAGUGAGAACUUA